rnacentral:lncRNA from 1 species
AUUAAUAUAUCUCUGUCUUUUGCCUUAUACACUAUUAAACUUCGCUCAGGAAAAUAUACACUGAGUGUACAAAACCUGACAUAGGCUGACCAAGUAAAUCAAGUUUCCUGUGUGUAUCAAGAACGGUCCACCACCCAAAGGACAUGCAGCCAACUUGACACAGCUGUGGGAAGCAUUGGAGUCAACAUGGGCCAGCAUCCCUGUGGAACGCCUUCAACACCUUAGACUCCAUGCCCCGAUGAAUUGAGGCUGUUCUGAGAAAAAGGGGGUGCAACUCAAUAUUAAUGUUUUGUACACUCAGUGUAAGUAGCCUUCAGAUAGGGGUUCCUAUAGUGAGAAAAUGUUAGUUUAUCACUCAAUAUAUAAGAAAUUAUUUUCAUAAUACUUCUAUUGAAAUCUCAGGCCCUAAAGGAGCCAUGUUGUACAGACCCAUGAUGGAAUAAUGAAUAGGAUCAUUUAUGUUUUGAGUGGUAGAUAAAUUGGUUGACGUGUCCAUUUACAUUUCAGUUAUGCAAUUUCAUUCACUUUUUAUUGGAUUUAUCCACUUGAAUCUGUUUUUACGAUCUGUGUCAACGUGUUUUGUUCUGGAUAAAAGAAUACAAGUAGUUUGCAGCACUUUAUCCAGCAUGAUGUUACACAACAACUUAUCUCUGUCUCUUCCACUCAAACAUAAGAGGACCUGAGCCCUAGGACCAUGCCUCAGGACUACCUGGCAUGAUGACUCCUUGCUGUCCCCAGUCCACCUGGCCAUGCUGCUGCUCCAGUUUCAACUGUUCUGCCUGCGGCUAUGGAACCCUGACCUGUUUACCGGACGUGCUUGUUGCCCCCUCGACAACUACUAUGAUUAUUAUUAUUUUACCAUGCUGGUCAUUUAUGAACAUUUUAACAUCUUGACCAUGUUCUGUUAUAAUAUCCACCCGGCACAGCCAGAAGAGGACUGGCCACCCCUCAUAGCCUGGUUCCUCUCUAGGUUUCUUCCUAGGUUUUUGGCCUUUCUAGGGAGUUUUUCCUAGGGAGUUUUUCCUAGCCACCGUGCUUCUUUCACAUGCAUUGCUUGCUGUUUGGGGUUUUAGGCUGGGUUUCUGUACAGCACUUUGGGAUAUCAGCUGAUGUACGAAGGGCUAUAUAAAUAAAUUUGAAAAAUAAAUUUGAUAGCACUUGUACUGUCACGUCCUGACCAGUAUAAGGGUUAUUUGUUAUUGUAGUUUGGUCAGGAUGUGGCAGAGGGUAUUUUGUUUAUGUGUUUCGGGGUGGUGGUGUAUGUAGUAGGGUGUUUGAUUUAUUAUUUCCGGGUUUCGGUCUAUGUUCUAUGUUUUGUAUUUCUAUGUUCUUUCUGGUUUGUUGUAUUUCUAUGUUUAGGUUGAUGGGGGGUUGGACUCUCAAUGGAGGCAGGUGCUUUCUCGUUGCCUCUGAUUGAGAGUCCUAUAUAUGGGUAAUUGUUUGGUUUGGUGUUUGUGGGAGAUUGUUUCUUGUUGUGCUGAGUGUGCCUGACAAGCUGUUUUUGUUGUUCGUGCGUUCUUUGUUUGUUAUUUUGGUGUUCUCUUGAUUUAAAAUAAAUACAAGAUGAGCAUCCACAUUCCUGCUGCGUUUUGGUCCUCCAUUCCCGACGACAACCGUUACAUGUACAGUGUAUUGGGAAAGUAUUCAGACCGCUUUAC